AAAAAGAAUACAACUAAAGCCUCAUCUUAAAUCCACUCAAGCAUGUGUCAACAUAAAGAAAAGUAUCUAACAAAGGCUUGAAGCAAUAUUUGGUGAUCUCCUAACUUAGCAUUAGUGAUAUCUUAUUUUAGUAAUGAGUAAACGAUUGUAAAAGCAAAGGGACUUUAUCGUAAAAGUAUAAGGCUAAAAGCACACACACAGUAAAACAUCUUUCAAAAUGUUUUAUCAAAUAAAACAUCUUCAAAUAUAUCUUGAAAUUGUGUCGGAAGACUUAGGAGCUGUUAAAAUAGCUAGAGGGAAAAUUUUGGCUUAUCUAAUCGAUUAGGUCCUUUGUCUAAUCGAUUAAAUUAGUUCAAACUUACGCCUAAGCAAUUUCGACAGUUCCUUAAUGAUGUGCAAUGACUAGAUAUAUUUUCCUUCCUUGUAUGGAACUUACAAACGAUUAUUUUCAUCUUUUAAUCGAUUAGACUUAGAUUAUAAUGGUUUAGAUUGUUACAAAAUGCAUUCAAUGAAAUUUCCUUUUUGAGCCAACCUCAGGCCUAUAAAUAGAGGUUUCAUUUCUCGUUCAAAUCAUCCAGAAUCGUGUUUUGACACUUUCAUCUCUCUCUCUCUCUCUCUCUAAACAUUUCUUUAACUUUCUCUCACUAUGUUUUUAGCAUAAGUGCUUUUGUGAGAAGAGUCAUUUUGUGAGUGAGACCAUUUUUGUAAUUCUUGAAUGGGUAGAAUUGUAAAAUUCACCAAGGGAACCUUUUGUGUAUAGUUUGGUUGAAUACUGUCCAAUUAGGGAUUUUAUUGGGUUAAAGUUAAACCCGUAAAAAGCUUUUGUUUGGGAUUGAGCAUUUCAGACCUAGUUUAGGUUGAAGAUCAGCCUGUGAUUCAUAGGUUCUUGGUAAGCUCGAUGAUAAAACAUGGAUAGGUUGAAGUUAAGCCCGGUACUUAAAAGCUUCACGGGUUCGAGAUCAACCCCGUGUUAAAAUGUCACAGGUUUUUGGUUAUCCCGGUUAAAACCAAGAUAUUGAGCUCAAAGGUUAUUAAACUUGAAGACUAACCGCUUGAAGUUCCAUUUUUAUGGAGAGAAGACUAACCACUUCAAUGUUUGGGAAGGAAGAUUUACCCCUUCACUCUCAAGUUUACUAUGAAGAAAAUAUGCAAACGCCCAUAUCCAUCGUCUUGUAUAUUGUGAUUGAAAAUCAAUCACCAUUUCCUUGUAUAUGGGGGGUUGUAAGUCUUUCCUGCUAAAAGAUCUCAAAGUAUUAACGAAAACUCUCAAGAUCAAUUAUUGGGGAGAGGAGUAAGUCCUUUUUUACCGAACAUCUAUAAUUCUUGGUGUUCCUCUUUUCCCUUAAUUCCUUUUAUUUAUGUAUUUUAUUUUUCUGCUGCUAAUUUUUAAAAAUACAUUUUAAAUAUGAUUUUAUUUCUCAAAUUUUUUAAAACCAUUUUUUUCCAAACCACACAAUCAACCCUAUCCCCCCUCUUGUAUGUGAAGUCUUAAGUCCAACACUCAUAAAUAAAAACAUCAAUGUACGACAAAGCUUAGCUCGGGUACAAAUAACAUACAAAGAUACAUGUAGUAUAUAAGAAUUGCAAAUUAACACAGUCGUGGCUCCAAGGUGACCUCAUAAAUAGUAUAAAAAAAUUGUACUUUAAAUUAUAAAAGAAAGUUAAAAUAGUAUGAAGGUAUAACAUAAUAGAACCAAGCAAUGAGUCGAGUUCCCCUAUAAAGAUUACCUACCUCUGAGAGAAUCAUGGGUUGAGUCACAAUACCAAAUGAAGCUCUAGGGUCCAUAAUUUGACCUCUUUGGAAAAUUAUGUGUGAGUUAUCCAAUGUAAGUUCAAUGUCAUAAUAAAGCACUCUGGCCUACUGAAGAGAGAGUGAAACACCACCUUCAAAUUCUUCAAUAUCGGUGUCCAAAAUAAUCUAUAUAUAUUUUUCUUCUUAGCACCAUCAAUUCAAAGAUAUUCAAGAUGCAACUCUAGCUCAUAACAAUGUGACUCUAGGUUGUAAUGACCUACAUGAAAGGUAUGUUAACUCUCAUGAUAAGCUUUAAGCUUAAGAUUGAUUUUUUUAGUGUCUACAUAGUGUUGUUAAAGGACUCCCUCAUAUAAUAAUUGUCUACUUCUCCUUUAUCUAGAUAAUUUCUCAAAUUGAUAACAAAAACAAGAUAGUGAAAAUGCUCUUCUUUAAUAACUUUGCUAGUCUUUGAGGCAAGUGCACCUCUUUAAGAAAUUUGUGGUUCUCAGAGGCCACGCAUAGAGAGUAGUUCUUUUACGACCUCCAAUGAAUCAUCAAAAUUGAGAUGACAAAUUAUCUUCUUGCCAAAGAAGAAGGUGAGAUAAGGUAGUUGUGAAGGAGGUGAACUAAAGUAAAUGCAAAGCGAUAAGGAGGUGAGCUAAGUUAGGUGCAAAGUGAGGAUGAGGUAAUCUAAGGUAGGUGUGGAGAAUGUGAGCUAGAGUAAGUGAAAACUGAGGAGGCGAUAAUAUAAGGUAGGUGUAGAGGACAUGAUAUGAUAGUGGUGCAAAGUGGGAUGAGGUGAGCUAAGGUAGGGGUGAAAGAGUAAUGCUAAAGUAAGUGUGGAAGAUGUGAGUUAAGAUAGGGGUGAAAGAGUAAUGAUAAAGUAUAUGUUAAAGAGGUGGGCUAAGGCAGGUACAAAGUGAGGAAGAAGUCAUAUAAUCUAGACCUGGAGGAGGUGAGAUAAGGCAUGUGCAAAGUGAGGAAGAGGUGAGCUAAGGUAAGUUUAAAAUGAGGAGGAGAUGAGCUAAGAUGGUGUGGAUGAGGUCAGUUAAAGUAGAGGCAAAAUGAGAAGGUUGGGAACUAAGGUAAGAUAAUACAUUUAAUGAAACACAUUAGGUGCACUUGAUCAAGCAAUGAUGGGGUUGGAUAUUAUGGUCUAUGUGAGGUAGCACAUCUAAUCACACACUUUGAAUGAACAUCAAUACUAAAGGUUAAAUCAAAUCUUAAAAUCUAAAAUGUUAUAAAUUCUUGUAAGAAGCAUAACCCAAAAUCUAAUGUUUCGGAACCACUCACAAAUCCACCCAAAUGAGGGAUUCUAAGAAGCAUCCCAGCCUAAAGAAAAACAAUCUCAAAGAGGCUUCUAGCAGAAGCUCUAAUGGAAGGAAAGGUUUCCAUAGGGGCACCGAGAAACAACUCUACUUGAAGGACAUAACCUUAAAGGGGGCGCCAAGAAGCAGUUUAACUAGAAGGUAAAUGGAUCUAUAGGGCCACCUAGCAGUAGCUCGACCUAAAGUUGAGUGGUUUAUGGGGGUGGUUAUUGAACAACACCUUAGCCUGCCAAAACAGGCGCAAGGAAAAAGCAUCGAGUAGAAGCUCAUUCCACAUUAUUGCAAAAUAAAGUGUGUGUUAGUUAUAUUGAAAUUUUGAAGAAACAAACAUAAAAUCUUAGGUGAGGUCAAGUUCCACCUCAAUACUCUAAGUAAAAUAAAAAGAAAUCAAGCAUAUAAUUGAGGAAGUGAAAAGGGCUAGUGAGUUCACAUGGAUCGAUCUCAUAAGGAGCAAACAUAUAUGCCUUAACACGUUUGACAUUUGAUGGACUAUGGACUAACAUGGGUCAAUCUGAUGAAGAACAAAAUGUUUAUGCCUUAAUAGACUUGACGUUAUAUGGACCGUGGACUGACAUUUGACAAUCUGAUGAAGAAUAAACAUUUAGACCUUAACAGGCUUAAGACACGGAAGAACAUGCCACAUGGGCUCAAUUACACUUCGACCAUGCUGGAUAUGUCUACCAUUUCUCUACCCUUCAUCGUGUUUAGCUACGUUUGCCCAUUCAACGUGUCUAGGUCAACUUGAUCAUUCAGGUAAUGUGAAACCCCCACCUUGAUCAAUUAGACUAAGUUUUUCCUUAAAGUUACAGUCCUUCUAGAAAAUGCUUCAUGGCAUGUCAAUUCCACGCUCAUGCACAAACGAGUGACCUAAGUUGCAUGUGCUUAGUUCCACUUUCAUGUACAAACGAAUUGUGUGGAUCUAGGUAAAAGAAAAUAGUUUGAUGUUAUAAUUUAGAUGUUAUAAUUUUUGUGUUUAGAUAUGUGUAUGCACCUCUAUGUCAAAGAAAAUUUAAUUAUUAGCCAAAAUUUAUAACGCAACACAAAUAAAUAGUUCUAAUAUUACAUUAAAAGACGAAUCAUUGUAGAUGUAAUCGUGUGCACUCGAACAUUUGAGUCACUUGAUUAAUAUCAAAUAGCAGUACAAGUUUUAAAAUUUAAUCCAGUAUAACUACUUAACUAAUCCUAAUACAUCUACGGUACAGGGUGUUGUCUAUCGUAAUAGAUCUGUCACGUAACAUUUUCGUCAUUUUUUUUUUUCACUUUCAAUCAUUUAAAGGCGGUCUUAAACCGCCACCAAACAUUUUCGUCAUUUUUUUUUUUCACUUUCAAUCAUUUAAAGGCGGUCUUAAACCGCCACCGCCACAAAGUUUUAGUAAUUAUUAAGUGAUAGUUUAAAAUUAUCGCUAAUAGAUUGAAAAAAAAAAUCGUUUAGCAUUGGUUUAAAAAAAACCAUUGAAAUUGAAGGGAAAAGAAACCACUCACUUACUGAAUCUCACGAUAGACAGCACUAUAGUACUAAUAGAUCUCUCAAGGUAGAGAGUACCACAUUACAUACCCAUAUACUAAAAGAAACAUAAGAAGUGUAAUUCGUACUACUAGUAUACACCAACAGAUCCAACGCAUUUCAUCCCCGAAACAAAUAUAAACAAACAAACAAUUAGAUAAAUCCAACUUUGCUUCACAUUUUGCACCUCUUCUUAAUGGCUUCUCCUUACGUUUCCUUCACGUCUCUCCCUUUGUAGGACCACCCUACACUUUACUACCUCUCCUACUAUAUUACCAUAAUAACACAUCCUGUUAACCUUAUUUACCUAACACUUUAACUCCCAAAUAAACACUAUAACAGCAACUUCACUUUGCCAGAAUGAAACACACUAUCUGACUCACACCUAAUUAUGACCUCAUCUAACUAAACUGUCCAAAAAAAAAACUUCAAAGUGGUAAAUAAAAGAGCCCUCAAAUUGUGCUUGACAACUUUGACUCUUUAUCUACAAUAGUUAUAGUUCAUUUUAGUAACAAAAAUGUACAAUGCUGUUAUAUAUACAGUAGUAGUUAAAUUACCGUUCAACUUAAGUCAAUGUAAUAUUUCAUAUUUCAUAUUUCAUAACUUUGUUCAAACGUGGCUGCUUUUCUGGUAAAGUAAAACGUGUCGGUGUCGUCUAUAAGAAAAUUAAAAACAAUGAGUGCAUGAAUAAAAAAAACAUAUUGUAGUGUAGUGUAGGUUCAAAAGAUAAGAGUAAGUUGUUUCACACCACACCUCAAAUAGCAACACUCUCCUUUCACUUUUCUUUAUCAAAAACUUUCUACACUUGUUUACUAAGCAAUUAUUAUAUACUCCAUUUUCAUUUUAAGAAAACCUUCAUUCUCAUUGUGCUCAUAAGUUUUACAAAAAUGGGAACAUCUCAAAGAACAACAUUAGUAAACACUGUGUGUUGUUUAAUUAUUGUGUUGUUUUCUCUCACUGUUACUGUUGUGGUUGGUGAUUUAAUAACAGAUCAGAAGAAUCUUACAGCUAAAUCUAAAGAUGAAGUGAAGUGCACGCCGUGUGGUGAAGUUUCGUCGCCGCCGCCACCUUCUCCUCCUCCGCCGUCUCCGCCUCCAGCUUCCACGAGUAACUGUCCUCCGCCUCCUUCUCCUCCGAGCUCCGGCGGUGGUGGUGGUGGUUCAAAUUAUUACUCUCCACCGCCGCCGUCUACUUAUUACUACUCAUCUCCACCACCACCGGCGACGUCCACCGGAGGAGGUGGAACAGGUGGUUUGUAUUAUUAUCCUCCGCCGAAUGGUGGGACUGGGAACGGGAACUAUCCUACUCCGCCGCCUCCAAAUCCAAUUGUACCGUACUUUCCUUUCUACUACCACACUCCGCCACCUUCCGCGGCGGCGCCUCCACUAUUUAAGGGAUCCGUAAUGCUCUGCGCCGUGUCGUUUCUGGUGUUGUUUUGAUAGAAAAAAGAAAACAAGAGAAACGAAAAUUGAGGUAAGUAAAUUAAGUACAUGGAAUUUUGCAGAUCUCGAAGAUUAGAAAGAAAAGUAAAAAAAAAGUGAGAUCGAUGAAAAUGGAAAGUGUACUUAUUUUUUGCUGUCUCUUUAAUUCUGAUGUAAUGUAGGUUCAUCGAUCUGCAAUUUGUUGCCAAUUUGUAAUUGUAUCUAGCUAUUUUAUUUUGUUUAGUAUGAACAAAUAUUAUUUAAAGAAUAAAUUAAGCAUUAUUCAUUUCCAUUUAUAUUGUGUUUAGUAUAGAUUAUUAUUAAUUAAGCGAGUUUAUACUUAUCUUAA
rnacentral:lncRNA from 1 species